AGUGAACGCUGGCGGGAGGCCUAACACAUGCAAGUCGAACGGCAGCACAGUAAGAGCUUGCUCUUACGGGUGGCGAGUGGCGGACGGGUGAGGAAUACAUCGGAAUCUACUUUUUCGUGGGGGAUAACGUAGGGAAACUUACGCUAAUACCGCAUACGACCUACGGGUGAAAGCAGGGGAUCUUCGGACCUUGCGCGAUUGAAUGAGCCGAUGUCGGAUUAGCUAGUUGGCGGGGUAAAGGCCCACCAAGGCGACGAUCCGUAGCUGGUCUGAGAGGAUGAUCAGCCACACUGGAACUGAGACACGGUCCAGACUCCUACGGGAGGCAGCAGUGGGGAAUAUUGGGCAAAGGGCGCAAGCCUGAUCCAGCCAUACCGCGUGGGUGAAGAAGGCCUUCGGGUUGUAAAGCCCUUUUGUUGGGAAAGAAAAGCAGCAGGUUAAUACCCCGCUGUUCUGACGGUACCCAAAGAAUAAGCACCGGCUAACUUCGUG
rnacentral:rRNA from 1 species